CGAACACAGAAGUUAAGCUCUUUAGCGCCGAUGGUACUUGGUGGGAAGCUGCCUGGGAGAGUAGGACGUAGCCACGU
rnacentral:rRNA from 1 species